rnacentral:lncRNA from 1 species
GGACAGCAAGCAUGUCCAAGCACUUUCCUUCCCUUCCUUUGCUACGGCACAAGGUGUUGGUGAGUGUUUGAAGGUUUGUUUGUAUGGAGGAAUGGCUGAAUGUGUUUAGGUUGGAUGGAGGUCACAGCAAGGAAAGGGAAAUGAAGGUGCAUGGAAUUGUGUUUUUGUUGUGGGAAUAUGUAGAAUGGUUAAGAAGAAAAGACUCUGCCUUGCGGCAGAAUGUGUCUUCCUCCCUUCUCCCUAAACUGUCCCCCUGGAUGUGUCUUUGGAUAGAUAUAUUUAUAGGCUAGGGAGAGGAUGUAGUGGGUGGUGGUAAUGAGUGGAUGUAGUGGUAGGUGAAUGUGUUGGGUGGUUGAAAUGAGUGGAUGUGUUAGGUGAAAUGAGUGGAUGUAGUGGUAGGUGAAUGGAUGUGUUAGGUGAAAUGAGUGGAUGUAGUGGUAGGUGAAUGUGUUGGGUGGUUGUAAUGAGUGGAUGUGUUGGGUGAAAUGAGUGGAUGUAGUGGUAGGUGAAUGUGUUGGGUGGUUGUAACGAGUGGAUGUGUUGGGUGAAAUGAGUGGAUGUAGUGGUAGGUGAAUGUGUUGGGUGGUUGUAACGAGUGGAUGUGUUGGGUGAAAUGAGUGUGCUAAAAUGGUUAUUUAGGAAGAGGAUGAUGCACAAACUUCAAAUUUCGUCCAUUCCUUUUGCUCCAAGCAUAUGUUAUCCAUUCCAUGCCAAAAAAUGCUCCAAAAUGCACUUCUUUGCCACAUUAACCCUUUGGACCUACAAACACACGAAAAUAGCUUAAAAUACUAAAAUAACUACGAACUAACAACAUAAAUGCCAAGAAACAAGCUAACUAAGUCGCAUAAAUAUGCUCCUAUCAAAUUCCCCCACACUUAGCUUUUCCUAGUCCUCGAGCAAAACAAAACAAACAAAACAAAACAAAACAAAACAUAACCUAGACCUUCCAACAAUUGCCUCAGGGAUUUUUAAUGAAACAUGACGUGUUAAAAAUCAUCAUUCCCACAUAUUUUGGUCAUCCUUACACUUGAGCACAUACUUAAUCACAGUCACCACUUACUAGUUCACAAUUAACCAAUUAAAACGAUGUUUUGAAUGUAGUAACAUGCCUUAGAGAAUUUGCUCAAUUCCUUACAAGAUACUCUCUAUUUUCACACACAUUUUCUGACUACACACCCUACACUAGUAUAUGUGAGAAGAUUGAUGUAAACACAAAAGAUUAGGACUCACAUAUGUUAUAACAAAGAAAGCAAUUUUCUGGAGUUAUUAAGCAUGUUUAGAUAUGAUCUCAUGAAUGGAAUGCUACUACUUAGAUGCGAGAACCAGUGACACCAUAUGCUCAUAUCAAUUUCGAACUCCACAAAUUGAAACACACAACACUCAAGAUUGAAGUCAAGGGUUGUAACAGGGCUUGGGGGUAAUGGCUAACAAAGAAAGGAUAGGGAUAACAAAUGUUCUUAAAGCGAUAGUAAGCAAAGCAAUGAAAUAGGCACUUGGAAAUCACUUUAGAAUGCAGAAUCUACUUUUAAUUACAAAGGGAAGAUUUAUGCAACACUUAGGGCCGAAUUCAAUGUUUUGAACCCUUUAUUUAACAAACAACACUUUAAAGCUCUUUUUCAUACUUUUUUUUUUAAUUCUUUUUUUUCUUUUCUACCCGUGCCUUAUUAAGGACUUUGGCACACACACACACACACAAGAAUCACUUCCCCCACACUUGCUUUCUGCAAUACAUUGAUAAAAAAGGAGUUCAUUUUAAGUCAUGCUUUACUAUGCUUCAAGAACAAGGGUAUGGAUGGUCCUAACACUAGGCUAGGUAAGGAUAGUGUGGGUUAACAAAGAACAUAGGCUUAACAAGGCUCAACAGGGUUAAACUUAAACACAUAAUGAAAUAGGGGCACGACAAUUUGGCUUUGGUGGUCACUACACAACUUCAUCUUGAAUAUGUGUUAUGCAAAUCAAUAGCAUGCUUUGAAUGAAGUAGACAUGUGUUCUAGCAUUUGGAACUAAAUGAUGAAACGCCUUCUAAGUAGCAACCAAGCAAAGAAUAAUGAGAUCAUGCAACGACUUUAGAAAACAAUGAUGCACGGAUUAUUAACUCUCCAAAUAAAUGUUUAGGCUCAAGUCUCACAAGGUUAUAGCGUUCAUUUGAGUUCCUUUUUUCAAGCAUGUUACAAAAACUGAUUUUUCCUUUAUGAUUGCAUGUGAAUUCAUAAAUUAUAACCACAACCAAGCAUACACCAAAGAGUAAAUCAAAUUUUCAUCCAUGUUUAUAACUCUCUUUAACAGUCAUGUAAUUAAAAACCAAAUCCUCAUCAUUGUGUUGGAAGGUACCCUAAGACACAAACAAACACACAAAAACAACUCUUUUUGGGUUUUUCAAAACAAUUUUUCAAAAUUUUAUGAGAUUUUCGGAUUUUUAUGUCAAAACACACUAACACUCCAAAACAACAUAAAAACACUUAAAAACAGCAAGGAACAAUACUAGAAGUAAUGGGUGAUAAACUCCCACGAAUUUCAUGCAAAACAACUUGGUUAUCCCCCCCCCACACUUAAAUCGAACAUUGUCAUCAAUGUUUCAAGCAUAAACUCACACAAACACAAGCAAAAAAUCAAACAAACAACGAAUAAACAUGACAAGUAUGGCAAAGUAAAAACCAGACAGAGUAGAGUUUAAGAAUGCAAAUCUGGUUUUGGAGAUAGAUGAUCUUGUUGUCUUUCCACAGCUUUGAUCUCGAACUGGUUCGGAAUUCUGAGCGAGAGUUCCUUGGUUUCAAAUCAGACUCCUUCUGCUGGGUUGAUUUGAUUGUGCAGUCUGCAUUCUUCUCUGCUUGUUUCUUCUGCACAGCAGGCAGGCACGAGGUAGAGGUGAUGGUCUGUUUCUUUCUUCAAUUUUUCCAAGUGCCCACCAUUUGCUUUCUUUCUCCUUGUCCCUAGCUGAGGAUGAAUUAGCACAUUGUCUCCACAUGCUUCGAGGUAUCAUUUUCACUUCCCUUAUCUGUUCCCCAGGCAGAUGUGGUAGACGAAGAGGAAGCAUAAGAUGUUGAAGAUGAGUACUCGAGAGCAAGGCUAGGUAAGCAAUCAGGAAGGGGUUCCAGGCAGUCGGUUCCAGAUCAGAAGAUUGAUACCAAGUGUUGGCUGAUUGCUCUCUUUCUCCUUGUCUCGCAGAUGAAAACAACGACAAGGAGAAGGACAGGGAGAAAGUAUGAUAUGAGAUACUCUUGCUUUUAACCUUCAUGAUAUGAAAUACUUUUGCUUUGGAUGAGUUGUUUGCAGAGGUACCCCAAGGAAUAAGGAACACUGAGUGACUCGAGAGGCUUUGUUGGGAAGGCAUUCUCGGAGAUGAAGAAGGGUUAUGUAUGUCUACCUUGCAAUAGAGGGUGAAGGUCGUCAUUUAUAUGAAUUAAUAACCGAUACUAUUCUUUCACUCUUGUCGGCAACCGUUGGAUGAUUUAACAGUAAACUUCACGUGCUUUCUACUUCACAAGAAAUCUUCGACAGAUUGCCCGUGAUUUCUGCAAGGCUGAGUGUGCAUGUGAUAGGCGCUGACACGUUUGGAAAAGCAAGUGCCUCUUCGAUAUCUGGAAUCAGCGUUUCGACAAAUUGCCCGUGAUUUUCGCAAAGCUGAGUGUGCAUGUGACAGAUGCUGACACGUUUGGAAAAGCAGAUGCCUCUUCGAUUUCUAAGCUUGCCUCUUCAAGUUCUGAGCUCGCCUCUUCGAGUUCUGAGCUCCGUCGAGUGUAGAGGUUGCAUGUGACAAGUGUGGACAAAUCUGGAAAAGAAGAUUGGCCCGUGGUUUCUGAGCAAGCCCAGCUUUUGAAAAAGCUAGCGCCUCUUCGAUUUUUGAAUUGACCUUUUCGAUUUCUGAGCUCGCCUCUUCGAUCUCUGAAAUCCCGUCGAGUGUUGGUUUUUAUAGAGGCGCGCAAUACGUUUCAAAGCACACUUAAAUUUCUGCCUGUAUAAACUCCAUUCUUGCACUUCUACGAUCUUGACUUGUCCGACCUCUUCUUUCUUCAACACCUUUGAAAAUGUAUGGCCCUUCCGACCGUCGUUUUGACUUGAACCUUGGUGAAGAGGCAGCCAUGCCUUCUCCAGACAACAUAUGGCGCCCAUCCUUCAUAUCCCCUACUGGUCUUCUUACCGUUGAGGAUUCGGUGAUGAAGAAUGAUAUGACCGCUGCGGUGGUGGCCCGAAACCUUGUCACUCCCAAAGAUAACAGACUAUUUUCCAAACGGUCUGAUGAGUUGGCUGUUAAGGAUUCUCUGGCUCUCAAUGUGCAGUGUGCAAGUUCUGUGUCUAAUAUGGCCCAACGCCUAUUUGCUCGAACCCGUCAAGUUGAAUCAUUGGCGGCUGAAGUGAUGAGUCUCAAACAGAAGAUUAGAGGGCUCAAGCAUGAGAAUAAACAGUUGCACAGGCUCGCACAUAACUAUGCUACAAACAUGAAGAAGAAGAUUGACCAGAUGCAGGAAUCUGAUGGUUAGAUUUUAGAUUUUACUUGAUCAUCAGAGGUUUGUGGGUUUGUUCCAAUAGCAUUUGCCUUCGUCUUCAGGGGCUAUACCGCGUAGUGAAACUCCAAAUGAUCAACCUCCGAUACCUUCUCCUUUUGUGGCUCCGCCGACUGCUGAGGCUCCGUCGACUACUGAGAUUUCUCCUAAGCAGCCUUUGUGAAGGCUCUCUCUUGUAUUUUUCUACCUCCUGUUCAUUUUUCACGAAUUUUAAUGUAAAAGUACCUUGCAUAUCUGUCAAUGUUUCAAAAAUAAACCCACACCAAAAACAAUUAAACAAGCAACAAAUAAAAAUGACAAUCAUGGCAAAAUAAAAAUGCAGAAAAGAGAAGGUUUUUAGGAACGCAAAACUAAUCAUGGAGCAAUUCAAUGAUCUUCCUUAUUUGAAUACAUGGGUUGCCUCCUAAGAAUCGCUUGCUUUAAUGUCUUGCAGCCGGACGAAACUUCCUUCUAAGCUUGGAUAGGGCCCAUAGCAUGAAAUUGAUCCUUGAAUGGAAGGUGAUACUUGAUGUGAUCUGGCAAUGGUUUAAAUUCUAGUGUAUGUGCCUGAAUCAUCAAAAUCAACAAGUUAGUAUAAAAUAAAAUCGAAGUUGGAAAAGAUGGCUUACUUGCUUGCUCCGACAAAAACUCAAUUACGAACACCACAUCUUUGAAGGUUGCAGAGAUAUGGGACUUGGCCAGAUUUGGUGUUUUGAGAGUUAUGACUUGUCCCGUGUCCUAAAAUCCAACUUCUUUGGGAUUCUUCGUCUCAAGUGUAUCUUCUUUGAUGAAUUCUAGACAUUCCCCAUCCACUUCUUGCUCUUGAUUCUUUGGAAAGGUUUUGAAGAUGCCUUUCUCACCCUCUUCUUCCUUGGAUUGCUUAAUCCUGCAAGGAAUAAGGACAUUUGGUGAAACGAGGUCAAGACGAAUUGAAUUUAGGCUUACCUUGGUUGUAGUGGACGGCAUAGAGGGCAUAUGGGGUUGCGGCAAUGGUGGUUCUUCCCUUGCCGUGGCCUUGUUAUUCUCCUCUUCUUCGAGCAUCAGCUGUUCAUCCAUGUUUUGGCUUGGUUUGGAUGUCUUGGGUUCACCUCCAACCUCCAUAGCACUUCCUAAAGUAAUAGCAUCAUGGAUUUCAAAAUCUUUCUUCAAAUUUUCAAUAGUUGAGUUGGAGAGUUCACUUUGCUCUUGAAUUUUUGCCGUGAACUCCAUAAUUUCUCCAAGUUGAUUUUUCAAUUCGCUCAUCUCCUUAGCUUGAUUGAGCAUUGUUUCAUUUUGAUUUUGCUGCCCCUGCACCAAAGAGGUUAGUAAUUGAAAAUUUUGAUCACUAUUCGUGGACAUACUUGAAUUUGAUUGGAAUUGUUGUAGGGGAAGCUGUGGUGGCUGCAUAGGUGUUAAAUAAGACUCAUCAGAUUGAUGCCAAUAUCCAUCUUGUUGAGCCUCUUUGGUUUGAUUUUGUGAGCUCUGCACCAAAGAAUUUAUUUCAGCAAAAAUUCGAUCAUAAUCUAUUGACGAACCUGAGUUUGAUUGAGCAUAUUGUAUAUGAGGUUGUAAUGGUUGCAUAGGUCUUGAAUGGAACUCCUCUUCUUGCUGCCAAUAUCCAUCUUGUUGGAAUUGUUGAGGUUCUAUGUAAUUUGAAUAAUCUCUCCAAUCCGAAUUGUAAGCGUUGGAAAACAUGUUGUCCCAUGAUUGGCUAUGGCCUUGAUAACCCCAAGCAUCUUCAUUCGCAACGAAUUGAGAAUAUUGCUGAGUUGGAUAUCCUUGCCCAUAGGACACACCACAUGUAGGGACAUUUUGCAUUGUGGUCCUUUCGGCAUAUUGUGACAAUUGAGAAGUAAGUUCCGCCAAUUGAGCUUGAAUGGUAGCAAAAUCCAUGUCUUACUUCUCUAGUACUUGAAAUCAAGGAAACAAAACUAAAUCAAAUAUCAAAAGUAAAACAAAAAAGAAAAAAACACAAACAGAAACAAAGUCAGUAACUAAAAACAAAAGACACGAAUAUAAACAAAAAGAAAUAACAAGGGAAUAGCAAAGUUGCUAAUCCCCGGCAACGGCGCCAAAAACUUGAUGCGAAAAUUAUCUUAACACACAAAUUUAACCCUCUUUUAUCAAUUGUAGUAAAGAAUGUAAGUAGGGAUCGUUCUAGACCGGGGAUUAGGAGGGCUUGCUAAUAACCUCUAAACUGACUCAAAAACAUAAAACUAAACUUAAAAAUACUUAACAAGACUCACAAGACUCAAAGCAAACUUAAAAUACUCAAAACAGCUUAAAACAACUAAAUAAACUUAAACUAGACACUAGGAAUGACUUUGGACGAAAAUUGACUUUUACUUGAAUCAAAACAUUUAAAAACACAAAUUAAAACAUAUUCUAACUAAUUAGACACACUAAAGUAAAGGGGGAUAGAGUUUUGGAUGAAGUUGAAACAAACAAACAAGUAUGAAAAACUAGACAAAUUGUAAAACAAAUUUGAGAAAUAAGAUGAUGGAUGGGAUAGCUAGAGACUUUUUCUCCACACAUGACAUGUAUGCAAAUAACUUGAUUUCUAGUUACUACUUCAUUGAAUUAUGAAUGACAAUGCUCCAAAUUAACCGUGACAUCACUAAUUAACUCUCAGAUUUUCCUUGUUUUAUUGGAUUGGAUGACAUCAUAAUAGAGAUACAAUCAAAGAUCAUUACGUUUAAUGAAAAUCAUAAGCAUUGACAAAGCACUUGCAACUAUGACAUCAUGUCACUUAUGCUAGGAAUUGAACUUAACGCGAUCGUUUAUAAGCGACCUCCACUACUUAUGAAAAUAAGUUUGUAACGAUUAUAUGAAACUUUCUUAUAUUCUAGCAACGGAUUUAUGCAUGUCAAUUAAGUGUCGACCCUUAAUUAACAAAUACAAAUAAGUUAUCAAUCAAAUAGUUAAGCCAAUUGCAUUCAUGAUUCAAGAGUUCAUAACUGGAAUUUAUCAAAUUAUAUUGCACACAUAAUCAUGGCUUUGAAAUCACCCCUAGCCAAGUGGGGUUUAGCCACUCAUGUUUACAACAAAACGAAAGGAAAUGAAUUUAAACAUUAGAAACAAAAGAAAGAAAACAUCUAAACGCUUCAACGAUCCAACUUGGACAGCAAGCACGUCCAAGCACUUUCCUUCCCUUCCUUUGCUACGGCACAAGGUGUUGGUGAGUGUUUGAAGGUUUGUUUCUAUGGAGGAAUGGCUGAAUGUUUUUAGGUUGGAUGGAGGUCACGGCAAGGAAAGGGAAAUGAAGGUGCAUGGAAUUGUGUUUUUGUUGUGGGAAUGUGUAGAAUGGUUAAGAAGAAAAGACUCUGCCUUGCGGCA